rnacentral:rRNA from 1 species
AUUGAACGCUGGCGGCAUGCCUUACACAUGCAAGUCGAACGGCAGCGGACCUUCGGGUGCCGGCGAGUGGCGAACGGGUGAGUAAUGCAUCGGAACGUGCCAUUGAGUGGGGGAGUAACGUAGCGAAAGUUGCGCUAAUACCGCAUAUUCUGUGCGCAGGAAAGCAGGGGACCGCAAGGCCUUGCGCUCUUUGAGCGGCCGAUGUCAGAUUAGCUAGUUGGUGAGGUAACGGCGUUACCAAGGCGACGAUCUGUAGCGGGUCGUGAGAGGAUGAUCCGCCACACUGGAACUGAGACACGGUCCAGACUCCUACGGGAGGCAGCAGUGGGGGAAGUUUUUGGUACGAAAUGGGGGCGAACCCCUGAUCCAGCCAUG